GAUUUUCAAAUACCUCAAAGUAAUCGAUUAUUGGUUUUCUGUAAUCGAUGUUUUGCUCAAAAUCCGGAAAUAAUUUUUAAAACGUUAAUGAGGUAAUCGUUUAUUGAUUUGCUAUAAUCGAUGUUUUUGAUUAAAAUCUGUAAAUGAUUUUUGGAACGUUGCUGAAGCAAUCGAUUAUGGAUUUGGUAUAAUCGAUUAUCUGAAUUUGAAUUUUGCCAGCAAUCGAUUAUGGAUUUGGUAUAAUCGAUUAUCUGAAUUUGAAUUUUGCCUGUAAUCGAUUAUGGAUUGUAAGUAAUCAAUUAUUAAGCGUAAAAUCUGGGAUUGAUUUUUGAU
rnacentral:lncRNA from 1 species